rnacentral:rRNA from 1 species
UACGGAGGGUGCAAGCGUUAAUCGGAAUUACUGGGCGUAAAGCGCACGCAGGUGGCUGAGAAAGUCGAUUGUGAAAGCCCUGGGCUUAACCUGGGAAUUGCAGUCGAAACUACUCGGCUAGAGUAUGGGAGAGGGUAGUGGAAUUCCCGGUGUAGCGGUGAAAUGCGUAGAUAUCGGGAGGAACAUCAGUGGCGAAGGCGGCUACCUGGCCCAAUACUGACAC